rnacentral:tRNA from 1 species
UCCGUCGAGCCGGAGUCGAACCAGCGACCUAUGGAUAACAGCAAGUAACCCUCUACAGUCCACCGCUCUGCCAACUGAGCUAUCGACGG